ACACAGGUGGUCAGGUAGAGAAUACCAAGGCGCUUGAGAGAACUCGGGUGAAGGAACUAGGCAAAAUGGUGCCGUAACUUCGGGAGAAGGCACGCUGAUGUGUAGGUGAAGCCCCUGCGGGCGGAGCUGAAAUCAGUCGAAGAUACCAGCUGGCUGCAACUGUUUAUUAAAAACACAGCACUGUGCAAACACGAAAGUGGACGUAUACGGUGUGACGCCUGCCCGGUGCCGG
rnacentral:rRNA from 1 species